CCUACGGGAGGCUGCAGUGAGGAAUAUUGGUCAAUGGACGCAAGUCUGAACCAGCCAUGCCGCGUGCAGGAAGACGGCUCUAUGAGUUGUAAACUGCUUUUGUACGAGGGUAAACGCAGAUACGCGUAUCUGUCUGAAAGUAUCGUACGAAUAAGGAUCGGCUAACUCCGUGCCAGCAGCCGCGGUAAUACGGAGGAUUCAAGCGUUAUCCGGAUUUAUUGGGGUUAAAGGGUGCGCAGGCGGUCGGAUAAGGUGGUGGUGAAAUCCCGAGGCUCAAAUUCGGCAUUGCCUCUGAUACUGUUCGGCUUGAGAGUAGUUGCGGUAGGCGGAAUGUAUGGUGUAGCGGUGAAAUGCUUAGAGAUCAUACAGAACACCGAAUGCGAAGG
rnacentral:rRNA from 1 species